GAUGAAGAACGCAGCGAAAUGCGAUAAGUAGUGUGAAUUGCAGAAUUCAGUGAAACAUCGAAUCUUUGAACGCACAUUGCGCCCUUUGGUAUCCCAAAGGGCAUGCCUGUUCGAGCGUCAUUUGUACCCUCAAGCUUUGCUUGGUGUUGGGCGUCUUGUCUCUAGCUUUGCUGGAGACUCGCCUUAAAGUAAUUGGCAGCCGGCCUACUGGUUUCGGAGCGCAGCACAAGUCGCACUCUCUAUCAGCAAAGGUCUAGCAUCCAUUAAGCCUUUUUUUCAACUUUUGACCUCGGAUCAGGUAGGGAUACCCGCUGAACUUAAGCAUAUCAAUAAGCGGAGGA
rnacentral:misc_RNA from 1 species